GACGAACGCUGGCGGCGUGCUUAACACAUGCAAGUCGAACGGACAGGCCCUGCUUUUGUGGGGUGCUCGAGUGGCGAACGGGUGAGUAACACGUGAGUAACCUGCCCCUGACUUACGGGUAACUUCUCGAAAAUGGGGCGCAUACAGGAUAGGAUCUCCUGAUGCGCGGGGGGCGUUGGAAAGUUUCGGCGGUUGGGGCUGGAAUGGCUGCUUAUGCGCUUGAUGGUCGGGUUGUGGUUUACCAAGGCUUUGACGGGUAGCCGGCCUGAGAGCGUGACCGGCCACAUUGGGACUGAGAGACGGCCCAGACGCCAACGGGAGGCAGCAGUGGGGAAUAUUGCGCAAUGGGCGGAAGCCUGAUGUAGCAACGCCGCGUGCGUGAUGACGGCCUUCGGGUUGUAAACCGCUGUCGCCUGUGACGAAGCGUGAGUGACGGUACUGGGUAAAGAAGCACCGGCUAACUACGUG
rnacentral:rRNA from 1 species